CCUGAGAAACCCGAAAGAUCGAAUGGGGAGAUUCAUCGUCAGCGAUUCUGGUACGUGUGCGGUUCGCGAUGUCGGAGAAGACUUCGGUCGCGCGGCACGCGUCCGCAUGUUUUUUAUUGCCGGAAUCGUCGUCGUGCACUUCUCCCCUAGUAGGACGUCGCGACCCGUUGGGUGUCGGUCUACGGCACGGUAGGUAGCCUGUCACGCGUGCGCUUCGCGGCGUUACGCGGGGCAGACCUCCGUUCGCCCGACCGGCUGCUCGGCGGUACUCGCAAGAUAUCUGGCCGCAGACAUACGAACUGCGUCCGGCCCGUCGCAAGCGCGGCAAGUGUUUCUCGGCUGUACGGAUCCAAUGCCGUCACCGAGCCUUGCCAGCUGUUGGUUGACGGUGUCCUAGGACUGGCUAACAAAAUUAUGAUAUCGGUCGGCGACGCUAUUGCUUUGGGUACUUUCAGGACCCGUCUUGAAACACGGACCAAGGAGUCUAACAUGUGCGCGAGUCAUUGGGAACUAUUAAGCCUAAAGGCGCAAUGAAAGUGAAGGUCGGCCUUGCGCCGACCGAGGGAGGAUGGGCCGCGUCACGAUGCGGUCCCGCACUCCCGGGGCGUCUCGUUCUCAUUGCGAGAAGAGGCGCACCCAGAGCGUACACGU
rnacentral:rRNA from 1 species